CUAACCCUAGCUCUUAUAAAACCCCUGACCUUCUGCUCGUCAUUUUACCCUCAUGCAGCCGACCUCUCUCUGAAUCGCUUCCUUUUCUUCAUUUGAUGUGUGGUUCUGUAGCUCUGAUUACUUUUUGGUUGUUUAAUUUUGUGUGUGCUGAAGGAAAACUAUAUCAAUGAUAAUAAAGCAUUAUCCCAGCUCAUUAUGAGGUCUUUGUAAGUCAAAGGUGAAUUGCGAUGUACAUUCCUUUUUCAUCAGACGGACUUGAUUAGUAAUACCGGUUCUAAAAUCUAAUUUCAGUUCAGAUUUUUUAUUUCACUAAAUAACUUGUAAAUGAAGCAUCAAGAUGCUUAAUCUUUUACGAAGAUCACAAGCUUCUAUUUCCAGUAAGGCUGCUGGAAAAAUCUGAAGAAUCCAAAUCCGCUUCGCUCUCAAAGGCUGAGAUGGCUAGACAAGGCUACAAAGGGCAUUUGGUCAUGUUGGACAAGUUCACUGAUGCAGGUUCUUGUUUUGUCCCUGCUUUUGAUAUUCAGCUCAUGUGGCUGAUCCAUCAGGACUUGAGGGACAUGUGGGAUGAGAUGGGGAAGGUGGUGGGACUGGGAGAGACUGUUAAGCCAAAACGUGGAAGAAACAAAGAGACUUUGGGAGAGAACUUUUGAUUAGCCUUUUGAGAAAGCUGGAGGUGGGCUAGCCUUCGGAAUUGGAUGGUACUGCCUCGGUGAAGCCCCCAGUUUACUGUAAUGUAUUAGAUAUUAAAGUUAACAGCAUAUACAGGUCCUUGGUGCCUAGAUUCCUACUCGAGGCAAAGUGCAGUAGUUUCUUUUGAAAAUUUUGAUGUAGUUGAUGCCUCUGUGCUACUAAAGCUCAAGUCUCAAAUGAAGGCAACACAAAAGGAUGAUGUAAGACAUGAUUUUAUGCGUCUUCGGAUGGUAAGAUGUCACAGGGUACUAAAUCUUGAUAAAUCUUUAUCCGUGUCUCCAACAAUUCAUGGCAAAAAGCUUGGCAUCUCUACUGUGAGUUUCGAAGCAGAGGUUUAAUAGUUGAGCUUCGUCACUGUGGUGGUUCCUGCUUCAGGGGAAGUACAUUAAAAGGUGCUACAACACUUCGUUGGAAUAAUUGACUGUACAAAGAGAAAUUGAACAAGUCAAGGCUGCUGUUUCGAUAACUGCCCCAGUUAAAGUCCCAUACUUGCUGAAAUGUGUGCCUGACAGAGUCACAGAUGAUUCAGGAGCCAUGAUAUCAGAUGUAAUACUGAGAUUAUAUGGAUAUUGACCUCAAGAAGGUUGUUGGCUGUCUCGUACUUUUCUUGAUCAUGCAAGAAGGGUGGAGAAGAUGAGAAAAACCUUCAGCUGUGAGAUGGGACAAUAGGUUAUAGAGAUAUGUGAAGGUUCUUGGUCUUAUGGUAAAGCACCUGCACAGAGAAAGUGGUAGGAACUGCAAAUCUGCAAUACCGAAAGAACCUACAGCACAAUGUGAAGCAGCAUGGCAUUUUUCAACAGGAGAUGAAUUAUUGACAAGUUGGGAAUGGAAUCAUUAUCAUCAACAUUAGGCUUGAAGUUCACUCUUACUAAUAUAACAUCUCUGGAUUCAUUGCUUAUACUUUUGAGAAGUCGGAAAAUGCAAUAUCAAGGGAAAAUUGGGUUACAAAGUAAAGACCAAGGAAGGCAAAUGAAAGGAGAAAAUGAAAUAGCAAACAAGGAAGAAGAUGAGGAUUUUGUACACUCAUUCGGUUCUCAGAAGAAAACCCGAAUGGAAGAGUCACAGCUCUAUUGAAUUGGAAGCUACUGGUAAUAGAGCUAUUGCCGGAAGAGAAUGCAGUUUCGAUUACUUUAUGCAUCUCAAUUCUUAGACGUGAUGGCAUGUGGAGUUGACAACAUUACCAGGCAACCGGCAACCUGCCCUGGUUGAAGGUGGUGACAAGUUGUACAAGAAAGGAAUUAUUUCAGGAGAUACUUCAUAUGAUAUAUUUUUAUAUCAUAUGAAGGCAAAAGGUACACACAAGUUGCAUUAUAAUGCAAAGAACUUAUGCAUUAUCUAUAUGCUUCUCAUCUCAGGCUCAGGAAACAUAUUCUAAUAUAAAAACUUGACCAUACAUGCGCACUUUGAGCGUCAAAGGGCUUCUAAAACUCUGCAGAUAGCCACCCAAGUUGAGGCUCAAUUUAGUGGCCAGGUCUUUCUUACUAGUGGGAUCAAAAAAUUCAAAGAUGCCCUAAUGCCCAGUAAGAGAGAAAAAAAAAGGCAUAUCUUGAAUGUGGAAGCCACCUCACUUGAGUCAUUAGAGCUCUUUUAGUCAACGCUUUCGAAUCUACUAAUUGAAACAUUUGACAAUAAGCAUAGUUCCUGGCUGGACAUAAUGGACCAAUCCACUUCCUGUUAUGUGAUCAAAAUUGUCCCGUUGAAGACAAUUGUCGAAAGGUGACUGCACAUAACGAUUGGUAGGUAGCAACUAAUAGACAUAAAACCAUAAAUGUCAGAUGUUCGAAUCAUGUACAUCAUGUACUCAAUAAUAUUAAUGAAUUAUUUUUUAUUAUCACAAAA